UUCAGCUUAAUGAAGUGGUCUGGGUGUCAGGUCCAGCUAGGUUUAACCCAUUUUUUCAUAAACAUAGCAGUUUCAGAGAAACUGCUAUGUUUAUGAAUGGGUUAAGCCUUCCCCUAUUUCCUCUAGUGGCUGUCUCAUUGACAGCCACUAGAGGCGCUUUCGUGCUUCUCACUGUGAUUUUCACAGUGAGAAGACGCCAGUGUCCAUAGGAAAGCAUUCAUAAUGCGACCGGCUGAAUGCGCGCGCAGCUCUUGCCGCGCGUGCGCAUUCAGCCCAGGAGGAGGAUCGGAGGAGGAGAGCUCUCCGCCCAGCGCUGGAAAAAGGUAAGUUUUUACCCCUUUCCCCCUUCCAGAGCCGGGUGGGAGGGGGUCCCUGAGGGUGGGGGCACCCUCAGGGCACUAUAGUGC